ensembl:snRNA U6 U6 spliceosomal RNA
GUGCUCACUUCGGCAGCACAUAGAGUAAAAUUGGAACGAUACAGAGAUUAGCAUGGUUCCUGCGCACUGAUGAUACUCAAUUCCUGGCAUCACAAGUACCAGAGUGAU